CUGGAGGAGUGUGGAUGGUGUGUGGUUGGCUGAGGGAGCUGCAGAACCCCAGCUUGGGCAGUGCUGCCAGAAGCCAGGGAGAGUGAGAAGGAUCCCUGAGCUGGUUGCAGGGACUACAUCAGGACAAGGCUCUGAGGUGAGUUUGCAGAUUAUGAAUCUGUGGUUUGAAUGAACUAAUGGUGGGCUUGAACUACAAUGCUGGAACUGAACACCCUUGAUCUCUCGGAUCCAGAUUUGGGGAGUGGUGACUUGGGGACUGUGGGCUGGACUUCUAUCUGAGCUGUGCGUACGUCUACACCUGAAAAGCCGUCACUAGGUAUGAAAUCUGGGGGUGGAAACUGAUCACUUUGGCUCUGCCUUCCCACUUCCUGUACGGAGAGGUUCUCUUCCAAGGGAGGAGCCAUGGAAUGGCCCGUACGUAGGGGAUACGUUCCCCAUCUCUUGGCAUGUACACACCCUGACCCAUCAAUAUGUACAGAUCUCCUGUAGGAUACUCCCACCGUUGACAAGCGUGACCUCUCUGAGGAGCCUUUCUUGGGGACAGAGACUUCUAAAAUUUGGACGUGCAUCAAAUCUGCUCCUUCAGCCCUCAUGUGGGCAAUGUUGGGGUGGAGUUGACUAAAUGAACUUAAUGCUCAGAUUUAGGAUUUGCACCUGUGUAUGUAAUGAACGAAGACAUGAACAAUGUGGGACCUUGCGCUCUGAUUCACAAAUGGGUUUGAUGUACAUCUGGGUCCUGAGCCUUCAUCGUUCCCUUACAUUGAAUUAAAAUCGUGUAAAGCAGAUAAACCCUUAUGCUGUGGGGCAUCGGUGAGGUUAGAUAGAAAUGUCUAUAGGGUGGGAAGGUUAUUCCAUUACUGAACAUACAGCUUAGCUUUUUGUACAUUUUUAUAAAAUAUCUGGUGCUGGCUGCUACUGGAGAGAGCGUCCUACACUAAAGAGACCAAUGGACUGACCCGUUAUGGCUUUUUCUAUUAGCAAAGUCUGUCUAAGUGUGCAGUGCUUGUGAAGGCUGGUGGUUUGUUCAGAAGAAAGUUGAUCAGCUUUCAGUAUUUUAUGCAAAUUGAUUGACAGAAUGGAGCCAGCCAUCUGGCUGAAUGCUGCUGACGUCCAUCACCUGCUGAUUUUGCAGGCUUUCGUUUUGAUUGCUGUUGCACUAAGAACUCAGCUCUCUGACAGCUUCCUCUUGUCCUUCCAACUGAUCUGCCUGUGGACAUUCUCAAGCGGUCUUUGAGUCUCAGACUGAACCAAGGCAAUGCAUCACCAGCCCUGGGAAAGUCGGAUCAUUUAUCAUUACGUCGUCUCAUGAUGUUGCAUUAAUUAGUUCUAGUCUGUGGGUGAAGCGGGGUGAAGGGAAAGACUUUUAUCAGUGAUAAUUGGCAUGGUUUACCAGUAACUUAAAACUGAAGGAAGGGCAGGAAUCAUUAAUUAACAGAUCAGACUUUCUUACAGAGUCCUUUCCCUGUUAAAUGGAAAAUGCUCAUGGAAACUUGAGACUGUUUACUUGCACACUAGUGCUUGAAAGUAAUUUAUCCAUAGUGGGGCCCAUAAUCAUUAGUGCAAGUUACACAGAAGUGCUAUGGCAAAAACACCCCAUCAUCAUAAAGGAUUCAAAAAUGCUCCACAAAGCUGACUUUGUUGGUCUGGAGGAAUCUAGUGUAACUUGUUGACUGGAAGUGUGGCACUCUAUGAUAGUCACAAAGUGAUGCAAGAGGGCAGGGAAUUAUUACUGAUAUAUUUGUAUUACUGUACAGCCUGGAGGCUGCACCUGAGGUCAGGACCCCUUUGUGCUAGGCACUGGGCAGACACAUAAUUCACAAUCUAAACAGAGAAUAUAGGCAAAGUAAGGAAUAUCAUCCCCACUUUACAGAGCCACAGAGAGAUUAAAUAACUUGCCUGAGGUCACAACACAGUAAAGAGUACUACACACCACGGGCUUGCCGCUGACACACGUCGUUGUUGGUGUUGCUGUGAACGUAGAGGAGUGCACCUUCUGAGAGCAGUGGGCUGGUAGUAAUGUAAGAACUCACUACUGCGCUCUGAUGUUAAAUCUUUGCUUAGAGGCGCAAGGAGCCUGCUGGGCUUGGGAGGGUGUGUGUCUAUCAUCCAAUCUGCAGGACAGCAAAGUGUGAAUUAGUGGUGCCCAAAGGCGUUUUGUGUGUUUGCACUCCACCUCAAACGAAUGGUAACCAAAGCCUUGCACUGCUGGCUCACUGAACACUCUCAUUCAUGGCAGCGGGACAGUGACAGGUCCACCAGAAUACUAUAUUUAUCCAUAGUCUCUGACCCCUUUUGUGUAAUUCAGAGAUUUUAAAGUCAGAAAGGACCACUCUGACCUCCUGCAUAACGCAGGCCAUAGAACUUCACUCUGAUAAGCACCGUUCUUUCCUCCUAAACAGUGCCAAGCCCAGUACCUCAGAGCUGAACUAGAGAAUAUAUUUUCAAUUGAG